UAAGGAAUAUUGGUCAAUGGAGGGAACUCUGAACCAGCCAUGCCGCGUGCAGGAUGACUGCCCUAUGGGUUGUAAACUGCUUUUGUCGGGGAAUAAACCUACGUUUGUAAACGUAGCUGAAUGUACCCGAAGAAUAAGGAUCGGCUAACUCCGUGCCAGCAGCCGCGGUAAUACGGAGGAUCCAAGCGUUAUCCGGAUUUAUUGGGUUUAAAGGGUGCGUAGGCGGUUCUUUAAGUCAGAGGUGAAAGACGGCAGCUUAACUGUCGCAGUGCCUUUGAUACUGAAGAACUUGAAUUAGGUUGAGGAAUGCGGAAUGAGACAAGUAGCGGUGAAAUGCAUAGAUAUGUCUCAGAACCCCGAUUGCGAAGGCAGCAUUCCAAGCCUUUAUUGACGCUGAUGCACGAAAGCGUGGGGAUCGAACA
rnacentral:rRNA from 1 species